CAGUAGCCACGGGAAUACAGAGGGUGCGAGCGUUAAUCGGAUUUACUGGGCGUAAAGCGUGAGUAGGCGGCUUCUUAAGUCGGAUGUGAAAUCCCUGAGCUUAACUUAGGAAUUGCAUUCGAUACUGGGAAGCUAGAGUAUGGGAGAGGAUGGUAGAAUUCCAGGUGUAGCGGUGAAAUGCGUAGAGAUCUGGAGGAAUACCGAUGGCGAAGGCAGCCAUCUGGCCUAAUACUGACGCUGAGGUACGAAAGCAUGGGGAGCAAACAGGAUUAGAUACCCCGGUAGUCCCUGUCUCUUAUAC
rnacentral:rRNA from 1 species